CAACAUCCAAGGCUGGUGUUGGUGUACUUGCUGGUGGCUGUGUUUCUUCAGGAACUGUCUUCAGUAGACUACCAGCUUCAGCUGGAAUGAUGCUGUAUGAGCUAUCGGGCAUGGAAUUGGAAGAACAUGGAUUUCCUGAAUGGGAUCAAUUUGCUGGAUACUCGGUUAUGAUUCCAUCAACGCCUAUUCCAGAAGUGUAAGUUGCGAUCUCUAUUGUAGGAUCCGAAAAGUAAUCAAAUGGAAGGGUAAUAAAUUCAUUCCUUAAGACUGAGACAUAUACUGAGAUAUUCGCUGCUUGCAUUUCGUUUACGACUUUGGUGGUUCCUGUAGUGAAGCCAUUAACGGUGGGCACGAUGGAGAAUCUUGGCAGAGUUACUGCAUCAGCAUAUUUUUUGAUCUCCUCCACUGGUGUCCUGGGCGCAUCACUGAUUUCAUCUUUAAGAUAUAGUACUCUACUGUAUGCUGGGACGUUCUUAAACUUGGACAACACUGAUGUGUCGUCUGACUGGAUUAGGACUUUUUGUGUGGAUUCCUUGCCAAGUGUGGCAUUGCCAAAGGCAGUGUUAACAGCAGAUACUAUAUCAAGACCCUUCUGUGAGGCUAGGUAAGCGGCAUUCUGAAGACCAAGGACGUGCUUUAGAAAUUUGUAUCGUGGGUAGACGUUUAUAGCAAAUACAAACUAUGAUAGCGUGGAGAAUUUUCAAUGAAGUGAAUGAUUUUGACUAUGAAGAUGACACAUUCUAGAACACAGUUAAAAUUUGUGAAAGAGAAAUGCUCACCUCAAUGUUGAUUAAAAUCCCAGUAACCGCCUUUACUUUAGCCAAUUCCAGAAAUUCAGCAAGAGUAAGAAAUUUACCCUUGCUCUUGUUUGCAGGGUUUCUUGGCAAGCCACCCUUAUUCUCGAAAGGGCUUGUCAAUUGAGCUGGAAUAAGAAAAUUUGACAGUCAGGGAUUUCAAAAGAUUGCUUGAACAAAAUUGUAAGCAGGAAAGUAGCAACAAAGUUUACGUUGCAGUGUUUGAAUAUCGCUCCAUGAAAGGUCAAAGGAAAAAAUUCCAGCUGACUCUUGAAUUUCAGGGAUAGUGGUGGAUAGAGACAUGAAGGAAGCUGCUGCAGUUGUAUCUCUUGUAACAUCCACAGAAUCCAAGCAGAAAGCCACUCCAUCCUUUGACAUUUGAACUGAGCAAUCUAUUAUGUUAGCUCCAUCCUCUACAGCUUGCUGAUAAGCAAGAUCGGUGCUCCCAGCAUAAACUCCACUUGCUCCAUUGUGACUUAUGAUCAAAGCUUGUUCUGCAUAUAGACAUGCAUUGUUAAUCGGUUGCUCUUGUGGAAUGUACGUCGAAUAUAAGAAAAGCAUAUACCUUUUGUAGGUUUGAUAUCGGUGUACUGAGCAAAACAAGCUGCAUAAGAAAGAUAAAAUUGUAGGGUUAUAUUUUACA